rnacentral:rRNA from 1 species
UACGGAGGGUGCGAGCGUUGUCCGGAUUCACUGGGCGUAAAGGGUGCGUAGGCGGUUAGUUAAGUCUGUUGUGAAAUCCCCGGGCUCAACCUGGGAAUGGCAAUGGAUACUGGCUGGCUAGAGUGUGUCAGAGGAUGGUGGAAUUCCCGGUGUAGUGGUGAAAUGCGUAGAGAUCGGGAGGAACACCAGUGGCGAAGGCGGCCUUCUGGACCAAUACUGACGCUCAUGCACGAAAGCGUGGGGAGCAAACAGG